rnacentral:rRNA from 1 species
AUACGGAGGAUGCAAGCGUUAUCCGGAUUUAUUGGGUUUAAAGGGAGCGUAGGCGGGAGCUUAAGUCAGCGGUUAAAUGGUGCGGCUCAACCGUGCCCUGCCGUUGAAACUGGGUUUCUUGAGAGUGCAAGAGGCGGAUGGUAUUCAUGGUGUAGCGGUGAAAUGCUUAGAUAUCAUGAAGAACUCCGAUUGCGAAGGCAGUCCGCUGGGGCACGUCUGACGCUGAUGCUCGAAGGUGCGGGAAUCAAACAGGAUUAGAUACCCUGGUAGUCCGCACGGUAAACGAUGAUUACCCGCUGUCGGCGGCAGACAGUCGGCGGCCAAGCGAAAGCGAUAAGUAAUCCACCUGGGGAGUACGCCGGCAACGGUGAAACUUAAAGGAAUUGACGGGG